UGGGGAAUUGUUCGCAAUGGGCGCAAGCCUGACGACGCAACGCCGCGUGGAGGAUGAAGGUCUUCGGAUUGUAAACUCCUGUUGAUCGGGAAGAAUGGCCUCCGGGUGAAUACGCCGGAGGAGUGACGGUACCGAUUGAGGAAGCCACGGCUAACUCUGUGCCAGCAGCCGCGGUAAUACAGAGGUGGCAAGCGUUGUUCGGAAUUACUGGGCGUAAAGGGCGCGUAGGCGGUCGCCUCAGUCGGACGUGAAAUCCCCAAGCUUAACUUGGGAACUGCGUCCGAUACUGGGUGACUUGAGUUCGGGAGAGGAAUGUGGAAUUCCAGGUGUAGCGGUGAAAUGCGUAGAUAUCUGGAGGAACACCGGUGGCGAAGGCGGCAUUCUGGACCGAAACUGACGCUGAGGCGCGAAAGCCAGGGGAGCAAACGGG
rnacentral:rRNA from 1 species